rnacentral:rRNA from 1 species
CCCUUAGAUGUCCUGGGCCGCACGCGCGUUACACUGAUGCAUUCAACGAGCUUAUAACCUUGGCCGAGAGGCCUGGGCAAUCUUGUUAACGUGCAUCGUGAUAGGGAUAGAUUAUUGAAAUUAUUAAUCUUGAAUGAGGAAUUCCUAGUAAACGCAGAUCAUCAAUCUGCAUUGAUUACGUCCCUGCCCUUUGUACACACCGCCCGUCGCACCUACCGAUUGGAUGGUCCGGUGAAGCCUCGGGAUUGUGGUUCUUGCCGCUUUAUUGUGGCGUGACCGCGAGAACUUGUCUAAACCUUAUCAUCUAGAGGAAGGUGAAGUCGUAACA